AAAAUCCGUUGGCUAUUUAGACCGUGAGGGUUCAAGUCCCUCUACCCCCA
rnacentral:tRNA from 2 species